AAAAAAACCAGGCUUCAGAUGAGAUUUUCCCUACUGGUUCCCAGUCUGAAAUUUUAAAUGAAACUGAUGCUCAAAAUGGUGCUUGGUCGACUCAAGCGGUAGAGUCACAGAAUGAAAAGCAAUCACAACAAUCUACAAUUUCUAAGGACCGAUUUGCUCAUACCUGGAAGCUCUGUAAUGCCACUGCUGGUCCAGACUACAUUCCUUGCCUUGACAAUUGGCAAAUUAUCAGAAGGCUUCCAAGCACAAAGCAUUAUGAACAUCGUGAGAGGCACUGCCCUGAAGAAGCUCCCACAUGUCUGGUUCCUAUACCUGAGGGAUAUAGACGUUCAGUUAAGUGGCCUAAAAGCAGGGAAAAGAUAUGGUACUAUAAUGUUCCCCAUACCAAGCUUGCAGAGGUUAAGGGGCACCAGAAUUGGGUUAAGGUUACUGGUGAAUAUCUUACUUUUCCUGGUGGUGGAACUCAGUUUAAGCAUGGUGCUCUUCAUUACAUUGAUUUCAUAGAGGAAUCUCUUCCUGAUAUUGCUUGGGGGAAAAGAAGCCGUGUGAUAUUGGAUGUUGGGUGUGGGGUGGCAAGCUUUGGAGGUUAUCUUUUUGAAAGAGAUGUUCUUGCAAUGUCGUUUGCACCCAAGGAUGAGCAUGAAGCCCAAGUGCAGUUUGCACUUGAGCGGGGAAUCCCUGCCAUGUUGGCUGUUAUGGGCACCAAGAGACUACCAUUUCCCAGUUCUGUUUUUGAUAUCGUCCACUGUGCACGCUGUAGGGUCCCUUGGCAUAUUGAAGGAGGUAAAUUUCUUUUAGAGCUCAAUCGUGUGUUGCGACCUGGUGGUUACUUUGUCUGGUCUGCCACUCCUGUUUAUCAAAAACUUCCAGAAGAUGUUGGCAUUUGGAAAGCAAUGUCUGAACUCACAAAGUCAAUGUGCUGGGAUCUCAUGGUGAUUAAAAAGGACAAACUAAAUGGUGUUGGUGCAGCAAUAUUUAGAAAGCCAACAUCCAAUGAAUGUUAUAAUAAGAGAACCCAAAAUGAGCCUCCACUGUGCAAAGAAUCUGAUGAUCCAAAUGCAGCCUGGAAUGUGCCACUUGAGGCAUGCAUGCAUAAAGUGCCUGUUGAUGCAUCAGAGCGUGGAUAUCAAUGGCCUGAGAAAUGGCCACAAAGAUUAGAGAAACCUCCUUACUGGCUGAACUCUCAAGUUGGAGUUUAUGGUAAAGCUGCUCCAGAGGAUUUUGCUGCUGACUACAAGCACUGGAAAAAUGUUGUGUCCCAGUCAUAUUUGAAAGGGAUGGGAAUUGACUGGUCUUCUGUGAGAAAUAUCAUGGACAUGAGAGCUGUAUAUGGAGGGUUUGCUGCGGCGCUCAAGGACUUGAAAGUUUGGGUUAUGAAUGUUGUACCAAUUGAUUCUCCAGACACACUUCCAAUAAUCUAUGAGCGUGGUUUAUUUGGGAUGUAUCAUGAUUGGUGUGAAUCGUUCAAUACUUAUCCUAGAACCUACGAUCUUCUCCAUGCUGAUCACCUAUUCUCCAGUCUCAAGAAGAGGUGUAACUUAGUUCCAGUAAUGGCAGAAGUGGAUAGGAUCUUGAGGCCAGAAGGAAAGCUGAUUGUGCGCGACCAUGUUGAAAUCAUAGGUGAGAUUGAGAGUAUGGCUAAGUCUAUGAACUGGGAAAUUCGAAUGAUUUACUCUAAAGAUAGUGAAGGACUGCUUUGUGUUCGCAAGACAAACUGGCGUCCCACUGAGUCAGAAUUGAUAAAGUCUGCUAUUAUUUGAACAGAGUGUUCCAGUUUUUGUCUUAAUGCUGAGGUUAGAAUAUAAUCUAUACCUCUCUUAAGCAUUUGAUUUUAAGCUUAGUAAUAGUAUUGGUCAAGAUUUUACCGUUCUUUUUUUCUUUUUUUUGGUUAUGCAAUUGUAAAAUUAUAUAGUUGAUUAUUUUAUACAGCACUUAUAUGAUGUUACUGUCCUAAUAUCUUCA
rnacentral:misc_RNA from 1 species